UACGUAGGGGGCAAGCGUUGUCCGGAAUCAUUGGGCGUAAAGCGCGUGUAGGCGGCCCGGUAAGUCCGCUGUGAAAGUCGGGGGCUCAACCCUUGAAUGCCGGCCGAUACUGCCGGGCUAGAGUCCGGAAGAGGUGAGUGGAAUUCCUGGUGUAGCGGUGAAAUGCGCAGAUAUCAGGAGGAACACCGAUGGCGAAGGCAGCUCACUGGGACGGUACUGACGCUGAGACGCGAAAGCGUGGGGAGCAAACAGG
rnacentral:rRNA from 1 species